GCCCGGGUGGUGGAAUUGGUAGACACAAGGGAUUUAAAAUCCCUCGAGGGUAACCUCGUGCCGGUUCAAGUCCGGCCCCGGGCACCA
rnacentral:tRNA from 1 species